rnacentral:rRNA from 1 species
GGGGAAUAUUGCACAAUGGGCGCAAGCCUGAUGCAGCCAUGCCGCGUGUGUGAAGAAGGCCUUCGGGUUGUAAAGCACUUUCAGCGAGGAGGAAGGCGUUGUAGUUAAUAGCUGCAACGAUUGACGUUACUCGCAGAAGAAGCACCGGCUAACUCCGUGCCAGCAGCCGCGGUAAUACGGAGGGUGCAAGCGUUAAUCGGAAUUACUGGGCGUAAAGCGCACGCAGGCGGCUUGUUAAGUCAGAUGUGAAAUCCCCGCGCUUAACGUGGGAACUGCAUUUGAAACUGGCAAGCUAGAGUCUUGUAGAGGGGGGUAGAAUUCCAUGUGUAGCGGUGAAAUGCGUAGAGAUGUGGAGGAAUACCGGUGGCGAAGGCGGCCCCCUGGACAAAGACUGACGCUCAGGUGCGAAAGCGUGGGGAGCAAAC